AGAGUUGAUCAUGGCUCAGGAUGAACGCUGGCGGCGUGCUUAACACAUGCAAGUCGAACGGAGUUUUAACGGAAGUUUCGGAUGGAAGUUUAAGAACUUAGUGGCGGACGGGUGAGUAACGCGUGGGUAACCUGCCUCAUACAGGGGGAUAACAGUUAGAAAUGACUGCUAACACCGCAUAAUAUAGUGAAACCGCAUGAUUUUGCUAUCAAAUAUUUAUAGGUAUGAGAUGGGCCCGCGUCUGAUUAGCUAGUUGGUGGGGUAAAAGCCUACCAAGGCGACGAUCAGUAGCCGGCUUGAGAGAGUGACCGGCCACAUUGGGACUGAGACACGGCCCAAACUCCUACGGGAGGCAGCAGUGGGGAAUAUUGGACAAUGGGGGAAACCCUGAUCCAGCCGACGCCGCGUGAGUGAAGAAGUAUUUCGGUAUGUAAAGCUCUAUCAGCAGGGAAGAUAAUGACAGUACCUGACUAAGAAGCCCCGGCUAACUACGUGCCAGCCGCCGC
rnacentral:rRNA from 1 species